CCUACGGGAGGCAGCAGUGAGGAAUAUUGGUCAAUGGACGCAAGUCUGAACCAGCCAUGCCGCGUGCGGGAGGACUGCUCUGUGAGUUGUAAACUGCUUUUGUCCGGGAACAAACGCAGGUACGCGUCUCUGUCUGAGUGUAUCUUACGAAUAAGGAUCGGCUAACUCCGUGCCAGCAGCCGCGGUAAUACGGAGGAUUCAAGCGUUAUCCGGAUUUAUUGGGUUUAAAGGGUGCGUAGGCGGUCGGAUAAGUUAGCGGUGAAAUCCCGGGGCUCAACUUCGGAAUUGCCUCUGAUACUGUUAGGCUAGAGAGUAGGUGCGGUAGGCGGAAUGUAUGGUGUAGCGGUGAAAUGCUUAGAGAUCACACAGAACACCGAUUGCGAAGGCAGCUUACCAGGCCACGUCUGACGCUGAGGCACGAAAGCGUGGGGAGCAAACAGGAUUAGAUACCCGAGUAGUC
rnacentral:rRNA from 1 species